rnacentral:rRNA from 1 species
AGCAGCCGCGGUAAUUCCAGCUCCAAUAGCGUAUAUUAAAGUUGUUGCAGUUAAAAAGCUCGUAGUUGAAUUUCGGGAUCAGUACGCUGGUCGUGCCUCCGGUAUGUACUGGUGUCACUGAUUCCUCCCUUCUGACGAACUAUCAUGCCAUUAAUUUGGUGUGGUGGGGAAUCAGGACUGUUACUUUGAAAAAAUUAGAGUGUUUAAAGCAGGCUCACGCUUGAAUACAUUAGCAUGGAAUAAUGAAAUAGGACGUUGAUCCUAUUUUGUUGGUUUCUAGGAUUGACGUAAUGAUUAAUAGGGAUAGCUGGGGGCAUUAGUAUUCAAUUGUCAGAGGUGAAAUUCUUGGAUUUAUUGAAGACUAACUACUGCGAAAGCAUUUGCCAAGGAUGUUUUCAUUAAUCAAGAACGAAAGUUAGGGGAUCGAAGACGAUCAGAUACCGUCGUAGUCUUAACCAUAAACCUAUGCCGACUAGGGAUCGGAUGAUGUUAAUUUUUAAUGUACUCUAC